GAUGAACGCUGGCGGCGUGCCUAAUACAUGCAAGUCGAGCGAACGGACGAGAAGCUUGCUUCUCUGAUGUUAGCGGCGGACGGGUGAGUAACACGUGGAUAACCUACCUAUAAGACUGGGAUAACUUCGGGAAACCGGAGCUAAUACCGGAUGAUAUUUUGAACCGCAUGGUUCAAAAGUGAAAGACGGUCUUGCUGUCACUUAUAGAUGGAUCCGCGCUGCAUUAGCUAGUUGGUAAGGUAACGGCUUACCAAGGCAACGAUGCAUAGCCGACCUGAGAGGGCGAUCGGCCACACUGGAACUGAGACACGGUCCAGACUCCUACGGGAGGCAGCAGUAGGGAAUCUUCCGCAAUGGGCGAAAGCCUGACGGAGCAACGCCGCGUGAGUGAUGAAGGUCUUCGGAUCGUAAAACUCUGUUAUUAGGGAAGAACAUAUGUGUAAGUAACUGUGCACAUCUUGACGGUACCUAAUCAGAAAGCCACGGCUAACUACGUGCCAGCAGCCGCGGUAAUACGUAGGUGGCAAGCGUUAUCCGGAAUUAUUGGGCGUAAAGCGCGCGUAGGCGGUUUUUUAAGUCUGAUGUGAAAGCCCACGGCUCAACCGUGGAGGGUCAUUGGAAACUGGAAAACUUGAGUGCAGAAGAGGAAAGUGGAAUUCCAUGUGUAGCGGUGAAAUGCGCAGAGAUAUGGAGGAACACCAGUGGCGAAGGCGACUUUCUGGUCUGUAACUGACGCUGAUGUGCGAAAGCGUGGGGAUCAAACAGGAUUAGAUACCCUGGUAGUCCACGCCGUAAACGAUGAGUGCUAAGUGUUAGGGGGUUUCCGCCCCUUAGUGCUGCAGCUAACGCAUUAAGCACUCCGCCUGGGGAGUACGACCGCAAGGUUGAAACUCAAAGGAAUUGACGGGGACCCGCACAAGCGGUGGAGCAUGUGGUUUAAUUCGAAGCAACGCGAAGAACCUUACCAAAUCUUGACAUCCUUUGACAACUCUAGAGAUAGAGCCUUCCCCUUCGGGGGACAAAGUGACAGGUGGUGCAUGGUUGUCGUCAGCUCGUGUCGUGAGAUGUUGGGUUAAGUCCCGCAACGAGCGCAACCCUUAAGCUUAGUUGCCAUCAUUAAGUUGGGCACUCUAAGUUGACUGCCGGUGACAAACCGGAGGAAGGUGGGGAUGACGUCAAAUCAUCAUGCCCCUUAUGAUUUGGGCUACACACGUGCUACAAUGGACAAUACAAAGGGCAGCGAAACCGCGAGGUCAAGCAAAUCCCAUAAAGUUGUUCUCAGUUCGGAUUGUAGUCUGCAACUCGACUACAUGAAGCUGGAAUCGCUAGUAAUCGUAGAUCAGCAUGCUACGGUGAAUACGUUCCCGGGUCU
rnacentral:rRNA from 1 species